rnacentral:rRNA from 1 species
UACGAAGGGGGCUAGCGUUGCUCGGAUUUACUGGGCGUAAAGGGCGCGUAGGCGGACAGUUGAGUCGGGGGUGAAAGCCCGGGGCUCAACCUCGGAAUUGCCUUCGAUACUGGCUGUCUUGAGUACGGGAGAGGUGUGUGGAACUCCGAGUGUAGAGGUGAAAUUCGUAGAUAUUCGGAAGAACACCAGUGGCGAAGGCGACACACUGGCCCGUUACUGACGCUGAGGCGCGAAAGCGUGGGGAGCAAACAGG